rnacentral:tRNA from 1 species
ACUUUCAUGGUGUAAAGGAAACAUACCUACUUACAAAGAAAGUAGGGGAUCUGGGUUCAAUUCCCAGUGAGAGUA